GAUUGAACGCUGGCGGCAUGCCUUACACAUGCAAGUCGAACGGCAGCACGGGUGCUUGCACCUGGUGGCGAGUGACGAACGGGUGAGUAAUACAUCGGAACAUGUCCUGUAGUGGGGGAUAGCCCGGCGAAAGCCGGAUUAAUACCGCAUACGAUCUACGGAUGAAAGCGGGGGACCUUCGGGCCUCGCGCUAUAGGGUUGGCCGAUGGCUGAUUAGCUAGUUGGUGGGGUAAAGGCCUACCAAGGCGACGAUCAGUAGCUGGUCUGAGAGGACGACCAGCCACACUGGGACUGAGACACGGCCCAGACUCCUACGGGAGGCAGCAGUGGGGAAUUUUGGACAAUGGGCGAAAGCCUGAUCCAGCAAUGCCGCGUGUGUGAAGAAGGCCUUCGGGUUGUAAAGCACUUUUGUCCGGAAAGAAAUCCUUGGCUCUAAUACAGUCGGGGGAUGACGGUACCGGAAGAAUAAGCACCGGCUAACUACGUGCCAGCAGCCGCGGUAAUACGUAGGGUGCGAGCGUUAAUCGGAAUUACUGGGCGUAAAGCGUGCGCAGGCGGUUUGCUAAGACCGAUGUGAAAUCCCCGGGCUCAACCUGGGAACUGCAUUGGUGACUGGCAGGCUAGGGUAUGGCAGAGGGGGGGUAGAAUUCCACGUGUAGCAGUGAAAUGCGUAGAGAUGUGGAGGAAUACCGAUGGCGAAGGCAGCCCCUGGGCCAAUACUGACGCUCAUGCACGAAAGCGUGGGGGAGCAAACAGGAUUAGAUACCCUGGUAGUCCACGCCCUAAACGAUGUCAACUAGUUGUUGGGGAUUCAUUUCCUUAGUAACGUAGCUAACGCGUGAAGUUGACCGCCUGGGGAGUACGGUCGCAAGAUUAAAACUCAAAGGAAUUGACGGGGACCCGCACAAGCGGUGGAUGAUGUGGAUUAAUUCGAUGCAACGCGAAAAACCUUACCUACCCUUGACAUGGUCGGAAUCCCGCUGAGAGGUGGGAGUGCUCGAAAGAGAACCGGCGCACAGGUGCUGCAUGGCUGUCGUCAGCUCGUGUCGUGAGAUGUUGGGUUAAGUCCCGCAACGAGCGCAACCCUUGUCCUUAGUUGCUACGCAAGAGCACUCUAAGGAGACUGCCGGUGACAAACCGGAGGAAGGUGGGGAUGACGUCAAGUCCUCAUGGCCCUUAUGGGUAGGGCUUCACACGUCAUACAAUGGUCGGAACAGAGGGUUGCCAACCCGCGAGGGGGAGCUAAUCCCAGAAAACCGAUCGUAGUCCGGAUUGCACUCUGCAACUCGAGUGCAUGAAGCUGGAAUCGCUAGUAAUCGCGGAUCAGCAUGCCGCGGUGAAUACGUUCCCGGGUCUUGUACUCACCGCCC
rnacentral:rRNA from 1 species